rnacentral:rRNA from 1 species
ACGGAGGGGGUUAGCGUUGUUCGGAAUUACUGGGCGUAAAGCGUACGUAGGCGGAUCAGAAAGUUGGGGGUGAAAUCCCGGGGCUCAACCCCGGAACUGCCUCCAAAACUCCUGGUCUUGAGUUCGAGAGAGGUGAGUGGAAUUCCAAGUGUAGAGGUGAAAUUCGUAGAUAUUUGGAGGAACACCAGUGGCGAAGGCGGCUCACUGGCUCGAUACUGACGCUGAGGUACGAAAGUGUGGGGAGCAAACAGG